rnacentral:misc_RNA from 1 species
AAUUUGCACUGAGGACAGUAGUUUUCGAUUGUGCUGUGCUCACUUCAUAUCGGAAAUAAAUGUCAUCGCGGAACUCAUCUAUUGUGCUAGUUGGAUAAAUAUUAAUACUAUUGCGCCCCUUUAAUUUUGUGAAGGACAAUGAACACCACUAUAAAGAUGAUUAAAUUAGAAAUGCCUUCAUUUAAAGAAAUAUUAAAAGAUACUGGAGGAAACGAACAACUUCUAGAAGAGCUACUGAUUAAACUUCGACUAUGGUUGAAGCAGCAAAUUCAUCUUCCUGAAGAUAUCUCUGAAAAACGAUUAAAGUUCUACAUUUACAGUGCAAAAUUUAAUUUAGAAAAAGUUAAGAAACGCUUGGAUUUGCAUUAUACUCUUCGUAAUCUAAUUCCGGAGGUUUUCACAACUCGUGACCCAUUGGCUGACUGUGUGCUUAAAGUAAAUACAUAUAUACAAGUUGUAACCCUACCAAUAUUAACAUCAGAAAAUUAUAGAAUAACUAUAGUACGGUGGUUACAUUCCGACAGUUCUGUAUUUAAUGUAUAUGAUCUUAUAAAAUAUUUCGGCAUGAUAAUGGAGACACGUAUAGAGGAAGAUAUAGUUAAUUCCGAUGUUCUAAUUUACGAUUGUACCAAUUUGACUUUCGGUCAUAUAUUGAAGUAUACACCAGUUGCAAUAAAAAAAUUCGACAUUAUUUUGGAAUCAUACGGUUCAAGAAUGAAAGCAAUUUAUGUGAUAAAUACACCAAGUUAUUUUGAUGUCUUAAUGACAAUAGUUAAAUCAGUAAUGAAGGCCAAAAUUGUUAACCGAACACAUCUUUAUACAUCCGGAAUAGAAUCAAUAUAUGGGAUUAUACCAAGAUCUCUUUUACCACUAGAAUAUGGUGGUGAACAACCAUCACUGAAUAUUUUAUCAGGUAUGUUCAAGUCCUGAGGGAGUAGACAGUGAGGUCAGAAGCACGAUAAUGGGGCUAAUAAAUGGCCUCGGACCGCCCUUUGCAAUGCAUCCUUGACUCGUUGAAACCUUUCGAAGAACAUGUAUCAUGCUGAAACCGCAAUUUUCACCAGAAGAAAGGGAUAGAAGUUGUCCUUAUCUUGCACCAAUCCGUGAAGACUUACACCAGAGAGAAAACUGAGAGAUGUCAUGGCCUGCUUUUAGGUGAUCCCUGAAAGCGAUAUU